UGAUACACCAAAAGCACAGCCCUGUGACACUAAUUUCUUAUCAGAAACACCGAGGAGCAUGAUGCGGCCACUAUCUCAGAGGAAAACUGAUGAGAUCCAUCGCAUUAGGGUCUCCUAGGGGGAACAAGAAAUGACUAAGCCAA